rnacentral:rRNA from 2 species
GGGAAAUUGUUGNCCGGAGGGGCCUGCAACUCUGUCNCCCGGCCGUCCAUGGCCGCGGGAAUUACCGCUGAACUUAAGCAUAUCAAUAAGCGGAGGAAAAGAAACCAACAGGGAUUGCUCUAGUAACGGCGAGUGAAGCAGCAAUAGCUCAAAUUUGAAAUCUGGCGUCUUCGACGUCCGAGUUGUAAUUUGUAGAGGAUGCUUCUGAGUAACCACCGACCUAAGUUCCUUGGAACAGGACGUCAUAGAGGGUGAGAAUCCCGUAUGCGGUCGGAAAGGUGCUCUAUACUUACCUCCUUCAACAAGUCAGAGUGUGUUGUGGGGAUAUGCAGCCUUCUUAAUAUUGGGGGAGGGGUUAAUAUUUUUUCUUUUCUUAAAAAGUCUAAAUAAUAUUUUGGGGCCCAAGAAGNAACCAUAUUACGGCGCCACAAUGUUAAGAUGUGAUNAGAAGAUAUGAAAAAGCACUUGUGGAAAAGAGAGUAAAAAAGCACGUGAAAUGGUGAAAAAGGGAGCGGAUGCGCAAUCCAAGANCUUUUCUGGGGCGGUUGUCACACGCCCCGGGGUACUUUCCUGGCACCCCCGGGGGUUCAUCAUCCUUACUGCCCCCCGUC